UUCCGGUUGAUCCCGCCGGACCCGACUGCUAUCAGAGUGAGAUUAAGCCAUGCGAGUUAACGUAGCAAUACGUGGCGCACGGCUCAGUAACACGUAGUCAACAUGCCCAGAGGACGUGGAUAACCUCGGGAAACUGAGUCUAAACCGCGAUAAGUGAGGAUUUCUGGAAUGGUUCCUGACUAAAAUCUAUAUGGCCUCUGGAUUGGACUGCGGCCGAUCAGGCUGUUGGUGAGGUAAUGGCCCACCAAACCUGUAACCGGUACGGGCUCUGAGAGGAGGAGCCCGGAGAUGGGCACUGAGACAAGGGCCCAGGCCCUAUGGGGCGCAGCAGGCGCGAAACCUCUGCAAUAGGCGAAAGCUUGACAGGGUUACUCUGAGUGAUUUCCGUUAAGGAGAUCUUUUGGCACCUCUAAAAAUGGUGCAGAAUAAGGGGUGGGCAAGUCUGGUGUCAGCCGCCGCGGUAAUACCAGCACCCCGAGUGGUCGGGACGUUUAUUGGGCCUAAAGCAUCCGUAGCCGGUUCUACAAGUCUUCCGUUAAAUCCACCUGCUUAACAGAUGGGCUGCGGAAGAUACUAUAGAGCUAGGAGGCGGGAGAGGCAAGCGGUACUCGAUGGGUAGGGGUAAAAUCCGUUGAUCCAUUGAAGACCACCAGUGGCGAAGGCGGCUUGCCAGAACGCGCUCGACGGUGAGGGAUGAAAGCUGGGGGAGCAAACCGGAUUAGAUACCCGGGUAGUCCCAGCUGUAAACGAUGCGGACUCGGUGAUGAGUUGGCUUAUUGCUAACUCAGUGCCGCAGGGAAGCCGUUAAGUUUGCCGCCUGGGGAGUACGGUCGCAAGACUGAAACUUAAAGGAAUUGGCGGGGGAGCA
rnacentral:rRNA from 1 species